UACGGGGGGGGCAAGCGUUGUUCGGAAUUACUGGGCGUAAAGGGCUCGUAGGCGGCCAACUAAGUCAUACGUGAAAUCCCUCGGCUUAACCGGGGAACUGCGUCUGAUACUGGAUGGCUUGAGAUUGGGAGAGGGAUGCGGAAUUCCCAGUGUAGAGGUGAAAUUCGUAGAUAUUGGGAAGAACACCGGUGGCGAAGGCGGCGACCUGGUCCGAUACUGACGCUGAGGCGCGAAAGCGUGGGGAGCAAACAGG
rnacentral:rRNA from 1 species